AGCAAUUAACAGUAUUUUCAUGUUCUCAGCUAUUAUGUAAAUGAAAAUACAAAGACAUUUCCAACUAAAUGUAAAUCUCCAUUUUUUACACUAAAAAGACCUAGAUAUCCCGGUAAAGAUCCAAACUUUUCCACACAACUUAUAAGAAUAUUGUAUAUAGAGUCCUCUAAUCAAAAUAUCUAAACCCCAUAAUCUUGAAUCCAUGAUUUUU
rnacentral:lncRNA from 1 species